UGAAUACGAGACGCUAAGGCGUCGAAGUAGUGUAUGUCAUACUUCCAAGAAAAGCUUGCACUGUCAUAAAUAAAGAAUGCCUGUACCAUAACCGACACAGGUGGGUAGGUAGAGUAUACUAAGGGGCGCGAGAUAACUCUCUCUAAGGAACUCGGCAAAAUAACUCCGUAACUUCGGGAGAAGGAGUGCCUUAUUCUUAAGGUUGCAAUAACAAGAUCCAAGCAACUGUUUAUCAAAAACACAGGUCUCCGCUAAGUCGCAAGACGAUGUAUGGGGGCUGACGCCUGCCCAGUGCCAGAAGGUUAAAGAAGUUGGUUAGCUUUUGCGAAGCUGAUAACUGAAGCCCUGGUGAACGGCGGCCGUAACUAUAACGGUCCUAAGGUAGCGAAAUUCCUUGUCGGGUAAGUUCCGACCCGCACGAAAGGCGUAAUGAUUUGGAUACUGUCUCGGAGAGGGGCUCGGUGAAAUAGACUUGUCUGUGAAGAUGCGGACUACCUGCACCAGGACAGAAAGACCCUAUGAAGCUUUACUGUAACUUGAAAUUGAAAUUGGACUUUAUUCGCGCAGUAUAGGUGGGAGGCGUUGACUGUAAUCUUGCGGGAUUAUUGGAGCCAUCAGUGAGAUACCACUCUUGUAAUGUUAGAUUUCUAACUUUGUAUCAUUAUCUGGUCAAAGAACAGUUUCAGGCGGGCAGUUUGACUGGGGCGGUCGCCUCCUAAACGGUAACGGAGGCGUACAAAGGUUUCCUCUGAACGGUUAGAAAUCGUAUCUAGAGUGUAAAGGCAUAAGGAAGCUUGACUGUGAGACCUACAAGUCGAGCAGGGACGAAAGUCGGUCUUAGUGAUCUGACGGUACUGAGUGGAAAGGCCGUCACUCAACGGAUAAAAGUUACUCUAGGAUAACAGGCUGAUCUCCCCCAAGAGUUCACAUCGACGGGGAGGUUUGGCACCUCGAUGUCGGCUCAUCGCAUCCUGGGGCGGUAGUACGUCCCAAGGGUUGGGCUGUUCGCCCAUGAAAGCGGUACCGAGCUGGGUUCAGAACGUCGUGAGACAGUUCGGUCCAUAUCCGGUGUAGGCGUUAGAAUAUUGAGAGGAGCCUUCUUUAGUACGAGAGGACCGAGAAGGACAUACCUCUGGUGUACCAGUUAUCGUGCCAACGGUAAACGCUGGGUAGCUAUGUAUGGAGUGGAUAACCGCUGAAAGCAUCUAAGUGGGAAGCCCACCUCAAGAUAAGUAUUCUC
rnacentral:rRNA from 1 species